CGAAAACGAAUUCUCUCUUGAGUGGAUCCUGAGUACGACGGAGCACGUGAAAUUCCGUCGGAAUCUGGGAGGACCAUCUCCUAAGGCUAAAUACUCUCUAGUGACCGAUAGUGAACCAGUACCGUGAGGGAAAGGUGAAAAGUACCCCGGAAGGGGAGUGAAAGAGAACUUGAAACCGUGUGCUUACAAGUAGUCAGAGCCCGUUAAUGGGUGAUGGCGUGCCUUUUGUAGAAUGAACCGGCGAGUUACGAUCUGAUGCAAGGUUAAGCAGAAAAUGUGGAGCCGUAGCGAAAGCGAGUCUGAAUAGGGCGAAUGAGUAUUUGGUCGUAGACCCGAAACCAGGUGAUCUACCCUUGGUCAGGUUGAAGUUCAGGUAACACUGAAUGGAGGACCGAACCGACUUACGUUGAAAAGUGAGCGGAUGAACUGAGGGUAGCGGAGAAAUUCCAAUCGAACUUGGAGAUAGCUGGUUCUCUCCGAAAUAGCUUUAGGGCUAGCCUCAAGUGAUGAUUAUUGGAGGUAGAGCACUGUUUGGACGAGGGGCCCCUCUCGGGUUACCGAAUUCAGACAAACUCCGAAUGCCAAAUAAUUUAACUUGGGAGUCAGAAUGUGGGUGAUAAGGUCCAUAUUCGAAAGGGAAACAGCCCAGACCACCAGCUAAGGUCCCAAAAUAUAUGUUAAGUGGAAAAGGAUGUGGCGUUGCCCAGACAACUAGGAUGUUGGCUUAGAAGCAGCCAUCAUUUAAAGAGUGCGUAAUAGCUCACUAGUCGAGUGACACUGCGCCGAAAAUGUACCGGGGCUAAACAUAUUACCGAAGCUGUGGAUUGUCCUUUGGACAAUGGUAGGAGAGCGUUCUAAGGGCGUUGAAGCAUGAUCGCAAGGACAUGUGGAGCGCUUAGAAGUGAGAAUGCCGGUGUGAGUAGCGAAAGACGGGUGAGAAUCCCGUCCACCGAUUGACUAAGGUUUCCAGAGGAAGGCUCGUCCGCUCUGGGUUAGUCGGGUCCUAAGCUGAGGCCGACAGGCGUAGGCGAUGGAUAACAGGUUGAUAUUCCUGUACCACCAUUAUUCGUUUUAAGCGAUGGGGGGACGCAGUAGGAUAGGCGAAGCGUGCUGUUGGAG
rnacentral:rRNA from 1 species